CAGUCGCCGCGGUAAUACGAAGGGCGCAAGCGUUAAUCGGAAUUACUGGGCGUAAAGCGCACGCAGGCGGUUUGUUAAGUCAGAUGUGAAAUCCCCGAGCUUAACUUGGGAACUGCAUUUGAAACUGGCAAGCUAGAGUCUUGUAGAGGGGGGUAGAAUUCCAGGUGUAGCGGUGAAAUGCGUAAAGAUCUGGAGGAAUACCGGUGGCGAAGGCAGCCCCCUGGACGAAGACUGACGCUCAGGUACGAAAGCGUGGGGAGCAAACAGGAUUAGAUACCCGUGUAGUCCCUGUCUCUUAUAC
rnacentral:rRNA from 1 species